GUAGGUGAACCUGCGGAAGGAUCAUUAUUGAAUAAGUUGGGAGGUUGUAGCUGGCUCUUCGGGGCAUGUGCACGCCUUUCAAACUCAUCUCAACCACCUGUGCACCUUUUGUAGACCUGGAAAUAGAUCUGUCAAGGCAACUUGGAUUUUGAGGGCUUUUGCUGAUUUCCUUGAAGUCGGCUUCCCUUGCUGUUUCCAGUGUUCUAUGUUUUAUAAUACACCCCUUAAAAUGUUACAGAAUGUCAUUGAU
rnacentral:misc_RNA from 1 species